CAGGGACAGUAAGACACUGGAACAGGCAGUCUGGGAUAAGUAUUUCGUUGAUGGAGCUGCAGCCACGGAAAUCCAUCUUUCAGAGAAGCCAUCAAAGGCCAAGCAGCCUCAUCCGACAUGGCAAUUAAAAAUAUUUUUCCCCGUUGAAGCAAAGAACUUAACCUCAAUGCUCCAGCACGACUCCAGGAUCAGGUCUGAAACUGCUGCAGCAACACUGCACCCUACCCAGAGUUUGCUCCGCAGCUGUGAUCCUCUGCUCGGCAGGGCCCAAUUUUACUGGUAAAAUGACACCAGCCUCCCCUACGACUUGCAAACAACCUUGAAAGGUGCAAGAGAAGUGGCUCUUCCUAUCGUGCCUCAGGAGCAAGCCGAGGUGGGAGGUCACCUUAUUGCCAAGCAUGCUGGAACAUGGCCUGUCAAGUUGCUCUAGAGAUGACUUCCCUUCACAAGCACAAAGCUAGCAUGCAAAUUCUUCUGACUUUGCUCCUUAAGCAUGUGGGGCCCUGGAAA